CUAACUCAACUCCCCCGCACCAGGGAUUCUCAGGAUGCCUCCAACCCCCCUGCAGCCCCGAGAGUCCUUGUCCAGAGGGGCAUUUCCUAUCUUCAGCCCUCUCUGCAUUGCAACUCACUGAACUCACUAAUUUCUGAGCACAUUAAGAGGAAACUGAGGCCCAGAGAGAAGAGCCAUGAAAUGCUCUGCUCUCUUCUCUUUUCCUUGCUGUCCCCGGGGCUGGAGGAGCACAGACCUUCCCAGGCACCGGCCCCGGCCUCGCUGGACCCCCGUCUACUGCCCCGGGUUGAGCCCAGGGGGCCAGAACCGGGAGGCGCCGGACUUGCUGCCGUCGAUGUGGAAACAGGGGCAGCUGCAGCCUGGGUGGCUCCGGGCUGGGCGCCCCGACUCUGCCCAGAGGAGCCCGAGAGGGCCCGCCGCCCGAGCCCCGGGCAGGGCUGCAUGGCCUGAGUUCCCCCCACCCCGGGCCUCCGUCUUUCCCACCCCAACAGCUUCCGCCAAGAGGAAGGAGUCAGGCAGGGCUGUUACUCAAGGCUGAGCAGGUGGCCCACAAGGUCAGAGCCCCAGGGGCGAGAGCUCUAGGCCAGUGUCGGGCCACGUGGCCUUGGUCUCAGCUCUGUCCUGCGUUCACCGAAUGGCUUGGCCAUCCCUGGCCCAUUUGAGGCCUUGGUUUUCUCCUUGGCAUUGUAAUCAUGGCACCGGCGACCUUAAAAUCCUUCCUCCAUUUCUGCUCGAA